rnacentral:rRNA from 1 species
GACGAACGCUGGCGGCGUGCCUAAUACAUGCAAGUCGAGCGGACUUUCAAGAAGCUUGCUUUUUGAAAGUUAGCGGCGGACGGGUGAGUAACACGUGGGCAACCUGCCUGCAAGACGGGGAUAACUCCGGGAAACCGGGGCUAAUACCGGAUAAUAUCUUCCUUCGCAUGAAGGAAGGUUGAAAGGCGGCGCAAGCUGCCGCUUGCAGAUGGGCCCGCGGCGCAUUAGCUAGUUGGUGAGGUAACGGCUCACCAAGGCGACGAUGCGUAGCCGACCUGGGAGGGUGAUCGGCCACACUGGGACUGAGACACGGCCCAGACUCCUACGGGAGGGAGCAGUAGGGAAUCUUCCGCAAUGGACGAAAGUCUGACGGAGCAACGCCGCGUGAGCGAAGAAGGUCUUCGGAUCGUAAAGCUCUGUUGUCAGGGAAGAACAAGUACCGUUCGAACAGGGCGGUACCUUGACGGUACCUGACCAGAAAGCCACGGCUAACUACGUG